CUUCAACUGUCGUCACAUACUGUUGCGAUGGUCCAAGAAUCAGCGUCAACUGUACUCAAACUUUUGGCUAAGCAUUUUAAGGAAUGCUUUGGGAACACCUACGAAUUGAUUAAUCCACUUUUGAAAGCUACCUUGGUACAAGCAAAUUUUCCAAGCAAAGAUCUAGAGAUGAUCAUGGCAUCGUA